rnacentral:rRNA from 1 species
ACGGAAGGCAGCAGUGGGGAAUAUUGCACAAUGGGCGAAAGCCUGAUGCAGCGACGCCGCGUGAGUGAAGAAGUAUCUCGGUAUGUAAAGCUCUAUCAGCAGGGAAGAAAAUGACGGUACCUGACUAAGAAGCCCCGGCUAACUACGUGCCAGCAGCCGCGGUAAUACGUAGGUGACAAGCGUUAUCCGGAUUUACUGGGCGUAAAGGGCGUGUAGGCGGUUUGGCAAGUCAGAAGUGAAAUUCCUGAGCUCAACUCGGGCGCUGCUUCUGAAACUGCUAGACUUGAGUGCUGGAGGGGAUAGCGGAAUUCCUAGUGGAGCGGUAAAAUGCGCAGAUAUUAGGAAGAACACCGGUGGCGAAGGCGGCUAUCUGGACAGUAACUGACGCUGAGGCGCGAAAGCGUGGGGAGCAAACAGGAUUAGAUACCCUGGUA